rnacentral:rRNA from 1 species
GCUUGUCUCAAAGAUUAAGCCAUGCAUGUCUAAGUAUAAGCCUUUGUACGGCGAAACUGCGAAUGGCUCAUUAAAACAGUUAUAGUUUAUUCGAUAAUCAAUUGCUACAUGGAUAACUGUAGUAAUUCUAGAGCUAAUACAUGCGUCAAAACCCAACUUUACGGAAGGGUCGUGUUUAUUAGAUACAAAACCAGCAUCUCGUUGGUGAGUCAUAAUAACCAAGCGAAUCGUCGGUUUACCGACGAUAGAUCGUUCAAGUUUCUGACCUAUCAGCUUUGGAUGGUAGGGUAUUGGCCUACCAUGGCUUUAACGGGUAACGGAGAAUUAGGGUUCGAUUCCGGAGAGGGAGCCUGAGAAAUGGCUACCACAUCCAAGGAAGGCAGCAGG